AGAAUCAACGCUGGCGGCGUGCCUAACACAUGCAAGUCGAACGAGAAAGUGGAGCAAUCCAUGAGUAAAGUGGCGACCGGGUGAGUAACACGUGACUAACCUACCUUCGAGUGGGGGAUAACCUCGGGAAACCGAGGCUAAUACCGCAUAACAUCGCAAGAUCAAAGCAGCAAUGCGCUGGAAGAGGGGGUCGCGGCUGAUUAGCUAGUUGGCGGGGUAAUGGCCCACCAAGGCGACGACGGGUAGC
rnacentral:rRNA from 1 species